AUGAACGCUAGCUACAGGCUUAACACAUGCAAGUCGAGGGGCAGCGGGAUUGAAGCUUGCUUCAAUUGCCGGCGACCGGCGCACGGGUGAGUAACGCGUAUCCAACCUUCCGUACACUCAGGGAUAGCCUUUCGAAAGAAAGAUUAAUACCUGAUGGUAUCUUAAGCACACAUGUAAUUAAGAUUAAAGAUUUAUCGGUGUACGAUGGGGAUGCGCUCCAUUAGGUAGUAGGCGGGGUAACGGCCCACCUAGCCAACGAUGGAUAGGGGUUCUGAGAGGAAGGUCCCCCACAUUGGAACUGAGACACGGUCCAAACUCCUACGGGAGGCAGCAGUGAGGAAUAUUGGUCAAUGGACGAGAGUCUGAACCAGCCAAGUAGCGUGAAGGAUGAAGGUCCUACGGAUUGUAAACUUCUUUUAUAAGGGAAUAAACCCUCCCACGUGUGGGAGCUUGUAUGUACCUUAUGAAUAAGCAUCGGCUAACUCCGUGCCAGCAGCCGCGGUAAUACGGAGGAUGCGAGCGUUAUCCGGAUUUAUUGGGUUUAAAGGGAGCGCAGACGGGUCGUUAAGUCAGCUGUGAAAGUUUGGGGCUCAACCUUAAAAUUGCAGUUGAUACUGGCGUCCUUGAGUGCGGUUGAGGUGUGCGGAAUUCGUGGUGUAGCGGUGAAAUGCUUAGAUAUCACGAAGAACUCCGAUUGCGAAGGCAGCACACUAAUCCGUAACUGACGUUCAUGCUCGAAAGUGUGGGUAUCAAACAGGAUUAGAUACCCUGGUAGUCCACACGGUAAACGAUGGAUACUCGCUGUUGGCGAUAUACUGUCAGCGGCUUAGCGAAAGCGUUAAGUAUCCCACCUGGGGAGUACGCCGGCAACGGUGCAACUCAAAUGAAUUGACGGAAGGGGGAAUUCGUUU
rnacentral:rRNA from 1 species